AGUGCCUCUUGCCUGACUGCCCGGCUGCCCCCUGGCUGGCCCCGCGGACACAGCCUCCCCGGGGCCUGGGGGGGUGCACACGGGACCCUCACCUCUGGCCAGGACGGCCACCCUCGGGCCCUCACACCGCCCCGGCGACCCCGCAGCCUGCUCGGAAGGCAGAGGUGGCAUCAGCCCAGGUGGCCUCACAGUUUGGGGAGGCGGCAUUUCGGACAGGCUCCCCGAGAGGGUGCUGGGGAGAGCAGCAGGCUUGCCUGUGACCCCCGGGCCCCUUGGGGUGCGCCUGCCUCUGCCUGACGGCCCGUUAGUGUCCAGGGGACCAGGGCGGACCAUGCUGGCCCGCGGCGGCCCUCCCCUGACUGCUCUUCCAGGCACCGGCCCCUCAUUCCCGGACACGGAGCGCGGGGCGGGCGGCGGUGGGGUCCAGGCCCGGCGAGGGGGACGCACCCACGGGGCUCACGCCGUGCACCCGAGAGCCCUGCGGGGCCAGCCACAGCCGCCCUGCGUCCGUCCCCACGCGGACACCCCGUCAGCCCCGCGUGUCCGCCCCUCUCCCGCGGGGGCCUGGGGCUCUGGGGCGCGGCCCGGCCGGGACCUCCGACCUGCGCCGCCCGCCCCCGGGGCCCGCUCCCGGGCUCAGAGGGCAGCGCCCACCUCGGAGCUUCUGGGCUUCCGCAGACGCUCUUCCCCGGGAGACCUCAGGUCACGGAAGAGCACAGCGGCGCACAAUAAAGAGAAAACAUCCAGGCGAACCAUCUACAGGACCGUUGAUGUACUCGGGCUGCGGGAGGCCCAGACGCCUCACAGGUCCUGCGGGCCCGGGGAUGCCAAGGAGGCUGAGCCCGUGGGGCUGCCCCGAGUCCCUUCUCUGCUCCCCGCGCCGUGUCCUGUUAGCUCCCCAGUGCUUGCACGAAGCCCCCUACCGGGCCGGGCAGGGUGA
rnacentral:lncRNA from 1 species